GAUGAACGCUGGCGGCGUGCCUAAUACAUGCAAGUCGAGCGAACAGACGAGGAGCUUGCUCCUCUGCCGUUAGCGGCGGACGGGUGAGUAACACGUGGAUAACCUACCUAUAAGACUGGGAUAACUUCGGGAAACCGGAUCUAAUACCGGAUCAUAUAUUGAACCGCAUGGUUCAAUAGUGAAAGACGGUUUUGCUGUCACCUAUAGAUGGAUCCGCGCCGCAUUAGCUAGUUGGUAAGGUAACGGCUUACCAAGGCAACGAUGCGUAGCCGACCUGAGAGGGUGAUCAGCCACACUGGAACUGAGACACGGUCCAGACUCCUACGGGAGGCAGCAGUAGGGAAUCUUGCACAAUGGGCGAAAGCCUGACGGAGCAACGCCGCGUGAGUGAAGAAGGUCUUCGGAUCGUAAAACUCUGUUAUUAGGGAAGAACAAAUGUGUAAGUAACUAUGCACGUCUUGACGGUACCUAAACAGAAAGCCACGGCUAACUACGUG
rnacentral:rRNA from 1 species